UUGAUCAUGGCUCAGAUUGAACGCUGGCGGCAUGCCUUACACAUGCAAGUCGAACGGCAGCACGGGGGCAACCCUGGUGGCGAGUGGCGAACGGGUGAGUAAUACAUCGGAACGUGUCCUGGAGUGGGGGAUAGCCCGGCGAAAGCCGGAUUAAUACCGCAUACGAUCUUGGGAUGAAAGCGGGGGACCGAAAGGCCUCGCGCUCAAGGGGCGGCCGAUGGCAGAUUAGCUAGUUGGUGGGGUAAAGGCCUACCAAGGCGACGAUCUGUAGCUGGUCUGAGAGGACGACCAGCCACACUGGGACUGAGACACGGCCCAGACUCCUACGGGAGGCAGCAGUGGGGAAUUUUGGACAAUGGGGGCAACCCUGAUCCAGCAAUGCCGCGUGUGUGAAGAAGGCCUUCGGGUUGUAAAGCACUUUUGUCCGGAAAGAAAACCACUUCUCUAAUACAGAGGUGGGAUGACGGUACCGGAAGAAUAAGCACCGGCUAACUACGUGCCAGCAGCCGCGGUAAUACGUAGGGUGCGAGCGUUAAUCGGAAUUACUGGGCGUAAAGCGUGCGCAGGCGGUUCGCUAAGACCGAUGUGAAAUCCCCGGGCUUAACCUGGGAACUGCAUUGGUGACUGGCGGGCUAGAGUAUGGCAGAGGGGGGGUAGAAUUCCAC
rnacentral:rRNA from 1 species